rnacentral:rRNA from 1 species
AUUGAACGCUGGCGGCAUGCCUUACACAUGCAAGUCGAACGGUAACAGGUCUUUCGGGAUGCUGACGAGUGGCGAACGGGUGAGUAAUACAUCGGAACGUGCCUAGUAGUGGGGGAUAACUACUCGAAAGAGUGGCUAAUACCGCAUGAGAUCUAUGGAUGAAAGCAGGGGACCUUCGGGCCUUGCGCUACUAGAGCGGCCGAUGGCAGAUUAGGUAGUUGGUGGGAUAAAAGCUUACCAAGCCUACGAUCUGUAGAUGGUCUGAGAGGACGAUCAGCCACCCUGGGACGGAGACACGGCCCAGACUCCUACGGGAGGCAGCAGUGGGGAAUUUUGGACAAUGGGCGCAAGCCUGAUCCAGCAAUGCCGCGUGAAGGAUGAAGGCCUUCGGGUUGUAAACUGCUUUUGUACGGAACGAAAAGUCUUGGGUUAAUACCCUGGGAUCAUGACGGUACCGUAAGAAUAAGCACCGGCUAACUACGUGCCAGCAGCCGCCGUAACAC